CCUGUUCGAGCGUCAUAAUGACCAAAUCACCCUAUGGUGGACUUGGAGUUGGCCGUCUGGCCUCUCUUAAAAUUAGUGGCGGUGCUCUUAAGCUCUACGCGUAGUAAUUCUUCUCGCUACAGGGUCUGAUUAGUACUUGCCAGCAACCCCAAUAUUUUAAGGUUGACCUCGGAUCAGGUAGGGAUACCCGCUGAACUUAA
rnacentral:misc_RNA from 1 species